rnacentral:rRNA from 1 species
UACGAAGGGUGCAAACGUUAUUCGGAAUCACUGGGCGUAAAGGGUGCGUAGACGGUAUGUUAAGUUCGUCGUUAAAGACUCCGGCCUAACCGGAGCACCGCGAUGAAAACUGGCGUACUAGAGGGUGAGAGAGAGAAGUGGAAUUCCUGGAGUAGCGGUAAAAUGCGUGGAUCUCAGGAGGAACACCAAUGGCGAAGGCAGCUUCUUGGCUCAUUCCUGACGUUGAGGCACGAAAGCGUGGGGAGCAAACAGG